ACCGGUUGACCUCGGAUCAGGUAGGGAUACCCG
rnacentral:rRNA from 1 species